AAUCAUCUCCCCAAAUCUCUCGAUAUAGCAUUAUAAUCGCCGGCCAUGCCAGAGCUCUGCUUCCCACCUGAGUCGCCUCGCCGCCAGCUCGCUCACCAGAUCCCCUGCUCCGCCGCCGUCUCACCGCGACACCUCUCCGCUCCGCGACCACCCCGGCCACCGCCGCGACCUCGCAGCUCCACCUCACCAGCCCGCUCCAUCCGCCUCACAUCGGUGGACCGCAGCACCCAGCCUCCUGCCCCAUUGUUCCCCACUCGAGCCUCCCCGCCGAUCAGCAUGGCUACCACACAGUCCACUCCACCGACACUACCCUGUCAGAUUCUGCGGAGUUUUCUCAGUCGCUAGGCUAUCCCAUCUACUGAAUCGGCUGCAUCCCCAUCGAUUUGGAUCGGCCGGCCGGAGUAUUGGCCAUUGGAUUUCUAAAUUGCGGCCCUAUUUUGAAGCUCCCCACCCCUGAAUCAAAGGUAUGUGCACUUCAUGGAGUGCCCCACAUUUUGGGGAUUUUGUAAUUUUUGCAACAGAUUUUGAUGUGUAAUGCAUCCUUCAGAUGGAUGAAAAUUGUUAUUUUUGUUCAUUGCCGGCCUAGUAUUGUUUCGAUUAUUAAGUUGUUUCAAUUCUUGUCGAUGCUUCAAAUCUAUUUUAGAAUUGCUGCGACACUUCCUUUUCAAUGCAUCCUACAAUGCUUCCUGUAAACACAGCAUCCAAGUAAACGUGCCCCCCAUAUUGGCGCUAAAUUUGUUAGGUUUACCCCGUUUGAAUUUCCAUGCUUCCAUCAAAGAAUAAAAAUGCACCCUAAAUUGCACGAAAUGCACCCUAAAUUCCAUGAUUCCAUCACACAAAAUUCCUUCGUAAUUGUCCCCUUUUGGAUACUGUUUUCCCAGAAAAAUGCUUACAUGCCAAAAAUACUAACAGAUGCAUCCCCAUCCUGGGACCAAGCUUAUUAAAAUACCAUGCACCGUAUUUGUAGUGUCCAUAUUUUCGUGCUUCUGUCAUCCUUUGUGUCAUCAGUCAACAUAUAUAUACUGUUAUUUUCUAGUGUAUUGCUUCCAUACAACUAAUUCCACAACAGAGCAAAUCUAUCACUUCAUUCCUUACGAAACAAUUUUUUAAUGGAAAUGCUAACAAUCCGUAUUCCAUGUGUUCUCAGCUGACAUCAACAAUGACUAAAAAGGAGUCGAUCAUGCUACAGAGUCGAUAUUCAGCUGGUCGGUUACAUGAUAUUGUCAAGGGUCUCCCACCGAGAAGGAAAUACCUCAUUUGCAAAAAAUGGGGUAAUCUUCUUAAUAUUAGCAAAUUCUUAGCUCCAGGGGGUCUCAUAGAAUGGAUCGUUGACUGAAUUGACCAUAUUUCUUCUGUCUAAUUGAUUUGCUUCCAUAGAUAUGUUGACAUAGCACUAUUUUCAUGCUUCCAAAUUAGACUACAUAUACCUCUUCUGUCUAAUUGAUUAGCUUCCAUAGUUCAACCAAAUUUUGUGAAUUUAGAAUGUAGGUGACAGAAACAUUCAUCCCCAAGAUGGUGCAAAUCUUAGUUGUUUUUUAUUUUCAAUAUUUUAUACUUCCAAUUUAGAUGAUCCAUAUUGAGAUAUCACUUUUUUUUCAUGCUCCCUACCUACUACACUUCUAAAUUGUACUUCAUGUGCUUACCCAGUUUCAGAUAUAUUGUUUCCAUUCUACCUGCUUCAUUUAAAUUUUUUUAUCUUGCCAUUAUUUUCAUCAUUGCAAUAUGUCAUGCUCCCAUAUGUUUCUUUGGUCGAUAUAGUUUGUUAUAUUUCUACUGUUCCCAUCAGUCAACACCAUUGUAAUUAACCUAAACAUUGGCAUUGUGCUUCAUGGUUGGUAGCACUAAGUUGCAUAAGUACAACCGUGUGACUACCUUUGUGCCCUUGUUGUUCUAUAUUUCCAAGGUAUUCUAGUUUGAACAGUGCUCCCAUUCUUCCUAGUUUCAUCACAUAUAUGUUGCGCAGGCUUCACUUAAUUCUUUGCCUGCUUCGUACUGAUGGGGCUUCCAAAUUAUACUUCUGAUGCUGCUUUUGUUUUGUUAGAAUGCUUCCAUACUUCCUGCUUAUUUUCUUAUUGUUAUCACUAUUGUAAUAUGCCAUGCACCAUAUUAUAUUUUGUAUGUUUCUUUGGUGUAGGUAGUUUGCUUCCAUAGUCCGUGUUUUUUGUGUGUUUCUAUUGUUCUUUUUGGUUUCAGCACCAUUUUGAUCAAAACACAACAAAGUGUAUGCUGUGACAGACCAACUCGUUACUUCCUGUAAAGUCAUAGUUCCUACUCUUGUGUCGCAUAUGUUUCCUACAGUAUUAAGUUCUCUCUUCAUCUCAAUUUUAUAUGCCUCCAUUGCUUAUUAUGUAUGUUUGGAUCAAUCAAAUCGCUGCUCCGUGUAAGCUAUGGUUUCCACUUUUACGUAUCACAUAUGUUUCUAUAGAAAUGCUUUAUUUCUUCUCAAUUUUCCAUGCUUCCACUACCUAUCAUGUAUGUUCUGAUAGACCAAAUUGUUGCUUCGUGUAAGCCAUGCUUAUUUCAUUAUUUCGUGCUUCCACUGCCAUGUUUUGAUAAUUCAAACAUUCUCUGGUAUUCUCAGAGAAGCUUCAGCUGCAUGUUUUGUGCCACAUGAUGUCAACCAUGCACCAUUGGUUUCUCAAAAGCCUUGCACGGACCUCCCCAUAGAAUGGCGGCGGAGGACGUGGUGGAGACUUUGGCGGAUAACGACCGAAGCCCUCCCUAAGGAUGCGCUUGCUGACGUAGUGCGUGAGUUCGAGCUUCUGCAACCUACCACUACCAGGAUACUGCCAUGUUGCGCUAUUAGAUGGCUACAAUGUCCCUUGCUUCCGUCAUAGUGGCAACAAUAUUUAUUCGGCAACAUUUCGUGUUUGCGUUCCCAAUUGCGCUGCUGAACUCAUACCCUUGCUUUCCAGGCAUCUUAUGCAUGGGCCUUGUAACAGUUUUUUGUAUGUAAUUUUUUCAUUUGAAAAUAUACCCUUGCUUCCCAGCCAUCUUAUGGGUGGAUCUUGUAACAAUUUUUCUUAUGUAAUUUUUUUGUAUUUGUAUUAAGCUUUUGUUGCAUGGAAGCAAAUUCCUUUCUCUCUGGUAGCAAACUUUUGUUUGUUAAAAACGUACAAUUUAUGUCUUAGCAAAAAUAAAUGUAACUGUCACCAAGAGAAGCAAAAUUAACUUGCAAUGGAAGCGAUUUUUUUAGUCGACAGAAACAAACUCUGUUUAGUAGGAAAUAAAUAUCCAUCAUAAUCGGCACAAAUUUCUGUUAGCUCAAACACAAUUUCUACUAUUAGAUUGAAUAAAUUUGGUUGUAAUCGAAG
rnacentral:lncRNA from 1 species